ASYGGCGCACGGGUGCGUAACGCGUAUGCAACCUACCYUYWACAGGGGGAUAGCCUUSSGAAASUCGGRSUAAUACCGCAUAAURCAGGAACUGGCAUCAGUUAUUUGCUAAAGAUUURUCGGUARARGAUGGGCAUGCGUCUGAUUAGCUAGUUGGCGGGGUAAGGGCCCACCAAGGCGACGAUCAGUAGGGGAUCUGAGAGGAUGAUCCCCCACACUGGCACUGAGAUACGGACCAGACUCCUACGGGAGGCAGCAGUAGGGAAUAUUGGGCAAUGGACGCAAGCCUGACCCAGCCAUGCCGCGUGCAGGAAGAAGGCGCUCGCGUUGUAAACUGCUUUUGUCGGGGAAGAAAAGACCCCUGCGGGGGGCAUUGACGGUACCCGAUGAAUAAGCACCGGCUAACUACGUGCCAGCAGCCGCGGUAAUACGUAGGGUGCAAGCGUUGUCCGGAUUUAUUGGGUUUAAAGGGUGCGUAGGCGGCUWGGUAAGUCAUGGGUGAAAGACGACVGCUUAACGAUWGAAGUGCCUGUGAUACUGNNUUUCUUGAGUCUGGUUGAGGCMGGUGGAAUUGAYSGUGUAGCGGUGAAAUGCAUAGAUACCACCAAGAACACCAAUUGCGAAGGCAGCSURCURRGCCAGCACUGACRCUGAGGCACGAAAGCGUGGGGAKCAAACAGGAUUAGAUACCCUGGUAGUCCACACUGUAAACGAUGAUGACUCGGUGUUG
rnacentral:rRNA from 1 species